rnacentral:rRNA from 1 species
GGUGAACGCUGGCGGCAUGCCUAAUACAUGCAAGUCGAGCGGCCGCACGAUAAGCUUUCUUCUUUACUGUUGGCGACUGACGGAUGAGUAACACAUACAUCACCUACCUCUAUUACUUGGGUGACUUCGUGGGACCACUGCUACUACUAGCUCAUAUUUUCAACCGCUUAGAUCAAAAGUGCUUCACACUCUUCCUGUCACUUAUAGCUGGUUCCGCGCUGGAUUAGCUAGUUGGUAAGGUAACGGCUUACCAAGGCGACGAUGCGUAGCUGACCUGAGAGGAUGAUCGGCCACACUGGAACUGAGACACGGUCCAGACUCCUACGGGAGGCAGCAGUAGGGAAUAUUGCGCAAUGGGCGAAAGCCUGAUGGAGCAAUGCCGCGUGAGUGAAGAAGGCCUUCGGGUUGUAAAGCUCUGUUGUUAGGGAAGAAAAGAAGUGGAAGUAUACGUGGAUGUUCUGACGGUACCUAAAGAGAAAGCCACGGCUAACUUCGUG